rnacentral:rRNA from 1 species
ACGUAGGUGGCAAGCGUUGUUCGGAAUUACUGGGCGUAAAGCGUGCGUAGACGGUUAUGUAAGUCAGGUGUGAAAGCCCCGGGCUCAACCUGGGAAUUGCAUUUGAGACUGCAUAGCUAGGGUGCGGAAGAGGGAAGCGGAAUUUCCGGUGUAGCGGUGAAAUGCGUAGAUAUCGGAAGGAACACCAGUGGCGAAAGCGGCUUCCUGGUCCAGCACCGACGUUCAGGCACGAAAGCGUGGGGAGCAAACAGGA